rnacentral:rRNA from 1 species
AUUGAACGCUGGCGGCAUGCCUUACACAUGCAAGUCGAACGGCAGCACGGGAGCAAUCCUGGUGGCGAGUGGCGAACGGGUGAGUAAUAUAUCGGAACGUGCCCAGUCGUGGGGGAUAACGUAGCGAAAGCUACGCUAAUACCGCAUACGAUCUAUGGAUGAAAGCGGGGGAUCGCAAGACCUCGCGCGAUUGGAGCGGCCGAUAUCAGAUUAGGUAGUUGGUGGGGUAAAAGCCUACCAAGCCUUCGAUCUGUAGCUGGUCUGAGAGGACGACCAGCCACACUGGAACUGAGACACGGUCCAGACUCCUACGGGAGGCAGCAGUGGGGAAUUUUGGACAAUGGGCGCAAGCCUGAUCCAGCAAUGCCGCGUGCAGGAUGAAGGCCUU